UACGUAGGGUGCGAGCGUUAAUCGGAAUUACUGGGCGUAAAGCGAGCGUAGUCGGUUAUUUAAGUCGGAUGUGAAAUCCCCGGGCUCAACCUGGGAAUUGCAUUCGAUACUGGAUAGCUAGAGUUCGGCAGAGGGAAGCGGAAUUUCUGGUGUAGCGGUGAAAUGCGUAGAUAUCAGAAGGAACAUCAGUGGCGAAAGCGGCUUCCUGGACCAGAACUGACGAUCAGGCUCGAAAGCGUGGGGAGCAAACAGG
rnacentral:rRNA from 1 species